UACGUAGGGGGCGAGCGUUGUCCGGAAUGACUGGGCGUAAAGGGUGUGUAGGCGGUUUAUUAAGUUAGAAGUGAAAUACCUAGGGCUUAACCCAGGUGCUGCUUCUAAAACUGAUAGACUUGAGUGCAGUAGAGGAAAGUGGAAUUCCUAGUGUAGCGGUGGAAUGCGUAGAUAUAACUUAGAACACCGAUAGCGAAGGCAGCUUACCAGACUGAGUCUGACGCUGAUGCACGAGAGCAUGGGUAGCGAACAGG
rnacentral:rRNA from 1 species